GAUUAACGCUGGCGGCGUGCAUAACACAUGCAAGUCGAACGAUGAAACUUAACUGAUCUCUUCGGAGUGAUUUUAGGUGGAUUAGUGGCGGACGGGUGAGUAACGCGUGAGUAACCUGCCUUAGAGAAGGGGAUAGCCUUUGGAAACGAAGAAUAAUACCCUAUGAAACCAACACCUCGCAUGAAGUGCUGGUCAAAGAUUUAUCGCUCUAAGAUGGACUUGCGUCUGAUUAGCUAGUUGGUGAGAUAAUAGCUCACCAAGGCAACGAUCAGUAGCCGGCUUGAGAGAGUGUACGGCCACAUUGGGACUGAGACACGGCCCAGACUCCUACGGGAGGCAGCAGUGGGGAAUUUUGCACAAUGGGGGAAACCCUGAUGCAGCGACGCCGCGUGAUUUAGAAGGCCUUCGGGUUGUAAAAAUCUUUUCUAUGGGAAGAAAAUGACAGUACCAUAGGAAUAAGGACCGGCUAAUUACGUGCCAGCAGCCGCGGUAAUACGUAAGGUCCGAGCGUUGUCCGGAAUCAUUGGGCGUAAAGGGUACGUAGGCGGGUAAGCAAGUUAGAAGUGAAAUCCUAUAGCUCAACUAUAGUAAGCUUUUAAAACUGCUCAUCUUGAGGUAUGGAAGGGAAAGUGGAAUUCCUAGUGUAGCGGUGAAAUGCGCAGAUAUUAGGAGGAAUACCGGUGGCGAAGGCGACUUUCUGGCCAUAACCUGACGCUGAGGUACGAAAGCGUGGGUAGCAAACAGG
rnacentral:rRNA from 1 species